rnacentral:rRNA from 1 species
CAAUAGCGUAUAUUAAAGUUGUUGCGGUAAAAAAGCUCGUAGUUGGAUUUCUACCGAAGAUAGCCGGUCGGGUCUUCGACCUUGUAUCUGGUUUUGUCUUUGGUAUCCUCAUAGGGAACGUUUCUGCACUUUAUUGCGUGGUGCGGUAUCUAUGACUUUUACUUUGAGGAAAUUAGAGUGUUCACGGCAGGCAAACGCCUUGAAUAUAUUAGCAUGGAAUAAUAACAUAGGAUCUUCGUCCUAUUUUGUUGGUUUCUAGGGCUAAGAUAAUGAUUAAUAGGGAUAAUUGGGGGCAUCUGUAUCAACGCGUCAGAGGUGGAAUUCUUGGAUUGCGUUGCGACAAACUACUGCGAAAGCAUUUGCCAAGGAUGUUUUCAUUGA